rnacentral:rRNA from 1 species
CGUCAUACGGGAGGCAGCAGUGGGGAAUAUUGCACAAUGGGGGGAACCCUGAUGCAGCGACGCCGCGUGGGCGAGGAAGUAUUUCGGUAUGUAAAGCCCUAUCGGCAGGGGAGAAGAAAUGACGGUACCUGAAUAAGAAGCACCGGCUAAAUACGUGCCAGCAGCCGCGGUAAUACGUAUGGGGCAAGCGUUAUCCGGAUUUACUGGGCGUAAAGGGAGCGCAGGCGGCGGGCCAAGACUGGUGUGAAACCCCGGGGCUCAACCCCGGGCAUGCCUUGGAAACUGGCGG